UACGGGGGGAGCAAGCGUUGUUCGGAUUUACUGGGCGUAAAGGGCGCGUAGGCGGCCACCGCAAGUCGACUGUGAAAUCUCCGGGCUUAACCCGGAAAGGUCAGCCGAUACUGCGGGGCUAGAGUGCAGAAGGGGCACUGGAAUUCUCGGUGUAGCGGUGAAAUGCGUAGAUAUCGAGAGGAACACCUGCGGCGAAGGCAGCCUCCUGGGCCAGCACUGACGCUCAUGCACGAAAGCGUGGGGAGCAAACAGG
rnacentral:rRNA from 1 species